rnacentral:rRNA from 1 species
GGCACGCCUAAUACAUGCAAGUCGAACGGGGUAGCAAUACCUAGUGGCAGACGGGUGAGUAACAUGUGGGUAUCUUCCCUUUGGUGAGGAAUAACACGAGGAAACUUGUGCUAAUACCUCAUAAGUCUUUACGGAGAAAGCUUUAUGCGCCAAUGGAUGAGCCCGCACUUGAUUAGUUAGUUGGCAGGGUAAUAGCCUACCAAGACUUUGAUCAAUAGCUGAUUUGAGAGGAUGAUCAGCCACAUUGGGACUGAGACACGGCCCAAACUCCUACGGGAGGCAGCAGUAGGGAAUCUUGCACAAUGGAGGAAACUCUGAUGCAGCGAUGCCGCGUGAGUGAAGAAGGCCCUUGGGUUGUAAAGCUCUUUCGUCGGGGAAGAAAAUGACUGUACCCGAAUAAGAAGGUCCGGCUAACUUCGUGCCAGCAGCCGCGGUAAUACGAAGGGACCUAGCGUAGUUCGGAAUUACUGGGCUUAAAGAGUUCGUAGGUGGUUAAAAUAGUUGGUGGUGAAAUCCCAGAGCUUAACUCUGGAACUGCCAUCAAAACUUUUUAGCUAGAGUGUGAUAGAGGAAGGCAGAAUUUCUAGUGUAGAGGUGAAAUUCGUAGAUAUUAGAAAGAAUACCAAUUGCGAAGGCAGCUUUCUGGAUCACUACUGACACUGAGGAACGAAAGCAUGGGUAGCGAAGAGGAUUAGAUACCCUCGUAGUCCAUGCCGUAAACGAUGUGUGUUAGAUGUUGGAAAUUUAUUUUCAGUAUCGCAGCGAAAGCGUUAAACACACCGCCUGGGGAGUACGACC